CCGGCCAUAGCAAGAACAAAGAGAGGAAAAGAAGAACAAGAACCCUAAGUAGAAAAAUUGAAGAAAAAGUGUGGGAUUUCAAGGGAUUAAGCUAAUAAAGGUAAAAAUCCUUGAUUUUAUCUUGUGAUUUACAUUACCCAUGCUUUCUUUUUCAUUUUCCAUGCUUAGAACUCAAGAUUUCAUGAGGACACCCUUGCUGGUCGAACACCUAGGAGAGAGAAUUUGAUGAUGUUUUGGUUAGAUUCUAAGAUAUUCUAGUGUUUUUAGUUAGUUAGUGAUGUGUAGCAUAAAAAGCCAACAAGAAAAAUUCAUUUUCUCCCAUUACCCAUCAUUGACUGAAUUUUCUAGGGAGGAUAUUGAGGCUGAAAUUGAUGAUAUUUCAUGAUAUUUUGGUGGUGUUUAAUGAUUGGUGAGGCUAGAAAUUUAAUGGGAAAUUUUGGCAUGAAAAUCUAAAUUUUUACCUAAUGGAUAGGCAUGUGCGAUUUAUGAUUUAGACUGAUAAAUUGAAUCGUAUUCACAGUCAUGGAGGUAUUUUAAGUAUAAUUGGAGUGUAGAAAGUGAAAGAAAUCGAUUUAGAGUUAAAUUAGAGGUUUUAGCCAAUUACACCGAGAAUAGUACGAAUUAGGUCGAGUACCGUAUUUAAACGACUAUUCGAACAUUUUGCAUCACAUUUCGUGCAUUCAUAUAGAUUUAUAGAGCCUAAAAUAGUUUAUGAUAAAUUGACACAAUUUAUUGAAAUUCGUGUCAUGUAUGACGUAUAGGUGGUGAGCCCUCUAACAAGGGUAAAGAGAUUGUGCCCGAAGACCAGAAAUAGGAGUAUAUCGAACUCCUAGUACAGUGAGUAACCUUACUAUCAUUUUAAUUAUCUAAAGUAUGUUUUUAUUCAGUUUUGGUGAAAUUUUAUGAAAAUGAGUUUAAAUGGUAAAUCUUUGUGUUUUACAAACAAAAUGUGUUUACAGGAAACGAUUUUAUAAAUUUUCUUGAAAUUGAAUAAUAAUUUUGAAAAAUAGAGUAGUUGGAGACCACUUGUUAUGUUGUAAAUUUAUUAUUUGAAUCGAAUGGCUUAUGACAAUAUUUGCAUGAAUGACUGAAUUGGUAUUUGUAUUGAAAUGUAUAAACUGUUGUUUGCCUUGAAAGGCUGUGAAUUAAAAUAAUUGCCAUGUCAUGCUAUUGUAAAUUUUAUUGAAUUAGUGGAUUAUAUAUUAAUUAAUCACUGCAGUAUGGGGUUUUUGUGGACCAGCCUUUUAGAGGGGCACGGUAAACUCCAUUAUUUCUUACCUCGAUCGGAGAGGCACAUAGGGGAUCUCUCGAGGUACAGUUUAGGGUUCACUUCACGCUAAACCACCACGUGAGAGAGAACUCAGCCAACGCCAAGGAACGAUUGUGAUGUCCAACGAAAAAUGUGUUUUAUGCGAAAUAUGAAUUUUUAACAGCCUUGGCAGACUAGGUUGGAUGCCCUACACAAGGUAUCAUCAAGUAUGAGUUUUGGCAUGAGCCAAAGUUUUAAGAAAUUCAUUAGCCAAGUUUAUUACUCGAUUUAUAUGAAUUGAUUUUAUUUGGUUGAAAUGAGUUGAAAGGUAAUGAAAUUAUAGUAUGAUGACUUACUUUAAUUGUCUCCAUUUACUCAACUUUAGAUAGUUUAGAUGGUAUCUGUUUACUCACUGGGAUUUUAUAAUUCACCACCCUCCUUUUCAACCAUUUCAGGGCUAAGGUAGCUUGUGGAUAGCAGCUAUCGUUAAGGAUUAUAGUCGGCUUUAUUACUCCAAAAACUGUAGGUUUACUGCCUUUGUGCACUUUUGUUCCUUGUGGGCCCACGAGUCACUGUAAAGUAAAUUUUAUAUUCUGGUUAUCUAUAUUAUAGUACGUAUGAAUUUAUUUAGCUUUUACAUUACAAAAAUUAUUUAUUGAUGACUCUAUAAAUAUUAUUUUACAAGAAAUUAGAAUAUUUUAUUGAAUAUUUUAUUUUAUUCAAAUAGUUGCAAUAUCAUUUUUAAUAAAUGUUUAGACACCCAACUUUAUUUUAAAUCAUGAAAUAUGUGUUUUAUACUCAUCUACUACAUUUUUAGUUGGGAUCGGAAAAUUUUGAGAAAAAAUGAUGAAAACGCCCUUGUGAGGCGAAAAUUAUUUUUCCAUGGUUUUGAAGGGGAAAAAGCUUAAAAUUCUUUAAAAACGAGGUUUGGCGAUGAUUACUCACAGGGGAGUCGAGAAAAUGGUACUAAAGCCUUACGGGGUUCCGAUUGGCAUUUCGGAUAACGAAUGUCUACUGGGACGUCGCGGCGGUUAUCACGGGCUCGAAGGGAGUACUGGGUCAUGACAAUUAGAUUGGUAUCAGAGCUUUUGGUUUUAAAGUUGUUUUAAAGUUUAUAGUGUCAGUGUGGCCCAAGUUAAGUUAGGUUUGAUAGAAUAGAAUACGUGCAUCUGCAUACAGAAUUUGGAGUUGUUAAGACUCGUUUUGUUUCUUCUUAUAGAUCUUGUGGGAGUAUAAGUCAUAGACAGGGAGCUAUAUGAACUCUUGUUCCCAAUAAUCCAGUUCCUUGUUAAUGUCAUGUAAAGGUCAUAAGUAGGGUCGUUGUCCGGGUUUAAGAUGCCACUUGUGACACGUGCGAGUGUUGGAGAAAUCUUCCAACGAAUGCUCCUAAUGAAAGAUUAAUGAAAUGAUAUAUCCCUCCGAUUAAGGAUGGAGAAAUCUGGAGUUGGACUAAUAGGUCGUGAUAAUUUAUUCAUUUGGUGCAGUUAUAAUUGAACUCAUGUUUGUCAAUUAGAAAAAGAUUUGGGGACUAUGGAUUGUAUUGGAAUUAAUAUAAAGGAACACGUGUGAUAAUGGUAAUAAGGGGCGCACUUUGAUUAGAAUGAAUAGUUAUGGUUGUAAUUCACUUGGAGUAUAUAAAUUAAGCAUUGAAGUAAGAGUAAACCCAUACUUAUGUGCAUGAAGAUAAGAACACUAUGUUAAUUGAGCUUAUUAUGCCCAUAUAAAAGUGGUGUUGGGAUUUUGAAAUAUUUUAAAUGUGAAUAUGUGUUGAGUAGGUGCAGCAGUUUAGAGGGAACUGGUGUUGAUUUUAAUUAAGCGAUUGUGAGAUUUCAAGAAUUGAUUGGACCUAUUAUAGUUCAUGGAUAUAGUGAAUUAAUUCGAGAGUGAGUAUCAAUGAUUACUAUAAUUGAUAUGUGGUCAUGAAGUAAAAAGUUAAUAAACAAAUCUGCUCUAAGGAUGAGCUUGAACCUUGCUAUGCAUAGUAAAGGGGAGCCAAGAGAAUAAAGGACUAGAUGUGGAAUUGGCAGCUUGAGGUUAAAUGACUUGGAAAUGUCGAAUCUAGUCUAAGUGCCAUAUGAAGUUCUAUAAUUGAGACUGAUAUACAAACUACUUGAAAGAUCAAUUUAAAAGUUUAUUCGGUUCAAAGUGUGGCCUAUGAUAUGAAUGAUCAGUCUUGGAGGUGAUCUCCCCAGAGUAAGGAAUUUAGAGAAUGUUGAUGUUUGGAUAUACUCUAAGAGAGAGAACUUCUGCAUCCUAAGUUUAGGACAACUUUGAUCUUAUGAUCGCAAAGGCAAGGUGUAAUAACUAAGUAAAUUAUUCACUUAAUAAAUAUGAUUGGUUAUUGAUGAAUAAAGUCAAGAUCUUAACAUAUAGUGAUGUACAAUUUGAUAAUUAUGUAUUUAAGAGUUAUUUGGAGACAAUUCCUUCAUCAAAUUUGCACUAAAUGCUAUGAUAAAGGCAUAUCAAUGUUAAUAUGGAAAAGGUGAAAUUUGAAAUUUCAGUUACAACUACAAUUUUGAAAGGAUAUAAGUGAUGCUUAUAAUGGAUUUUUAAUUCUAUGAGGAUUGUGAAUAUAAGUGUAAAGCAAGAUGAAGGUAUGAAAUAUCGAUGAGGAAUAUCAAUGUUAAGUGAUGAAGUCUGAAUAACGAAUUACAAGUGUUAUAGGGUGAGAUGGAUUUGAAAAUGUCUAUUUUACCUAUUAUGUGUGAUAAGCACAAGAGGAUAUAAAUGGUUAUGGAAAUUGUGAUGUAAGCUUGAAGGGAAACCAAACGGUUGAGAAUGAUUAGUGUAGCAACCUUAAAUAUAGAUGAAUAACAUUGAUCAAGUAAACUCCAACAGCCACUGUGCCGCGGUGCUAAGAACACUUCAUGUCUAGGACGCAUGAAUAAAAUGAGACAGAUGUGAAGUUGAAUUCACGAGUUGACCUAAAGUCAUUGAACUUGAUUUUAAGUUUUGUUAAUUGGAGUUUUAAGGUUUUGGAAGGUAUCGAUAUGAAUGAGUUAAAAUUGAAAUGGUUAAAGGCGUUCCCUCCGGGGGGGAGCAAAAAGUUUAGGGUUCGAAACUUGGCGAGAAGGUCCUACAGGCCUUGUCGUGUCACCCUUAGGCGUGACAGAAGCAAGUAAGUCAAGUGAUGGGGACCCAGACAUAACAAUACCUCGGAGUGGGCCUCGAAGAGGAUGCCACAUAAAUGACUAAGUUACGGGUUAAGUGAUCACAUGUUGUGAGACAUAUGUUUAAGAUAGAUAUCCCUAAGGAAAUACUCAAGAGAAGUUCUGCCGUGGAUCUUGUAAAAGCAAGCACUAAGUUAUGUGAUUAUAAAAAGGAAGUUAUAAGCUGAGAGUGAUAUUAGUAUUAAUAUUGAAAAAUACUUGAGGAGAAUCUAGUUUUAAGUCUUGCAAUUUCAAGUACAAUUUAUAAAUGGGUUAAGGAAGAAUGAUGUUAUAUUCGUAUGAAAGAGUGAAACUUUAUUAAAGGAAGCGUAUGGAAUAGCAUAAGAGAAUAUAUUAGUUUGACUUACUAUAAGAGGUCAAAAGUUUGAUGGCCAUGAGUGGCUUGUAAGUAACCCAAGAAUGUAUAGGUAAGUGUGCAAGGGAGCUAUGAUCGAUAGAUAAGGGUAAAACUUUAAUGAUGAGACAAUGUUCGCUGCAUUAGACCUUGAACUAUAAAAUAUGGAUAUGUAUCCACCUUAUGAGUACUCUGAUGUGAUAAAUUUGAAAGACUUUUCACAAUGAGAAAACAUUAAAGCUUAAGGAGCAAAUGGCUAUACAGUCAAGUUAGACUCAUGACUGACAUGUCACAUAAGUAUGAGGAUGGGAUACAAGCAUAAGUAUACUUGGAAAUACUGGUUUGAGGCAAUGAUUAUCCUACUGUUUUAUGGACCCGAUGAGGUUCUGGUUUCGACAUAAUUGUAGACGCAAAACAUAAAUUGUGAAAUGUACUUCCCCACAAGUUUCAAUUUAUUUUUAAGUAAUUAUCAAGGCAAAGUACUUGAUAAUGGUAGGCAAAGGUUGAAUUGUGUUUUGAAUGUUUAGAAAAUGAGGGUGAUACAGUUUGAUUAAAUGGCACUAUUAGGUGUAAGGGAAUAGAAAUACGCUAUAGGGACUGUAAAGAUCUACUUAGAAAAGAAAUGAUGAUUCGAAAAUUCAAGUACUCAUGUACAAGUAAGGGUUUGGUGAUGAGAUAUGACAUAGGGUUAAUUACUCCAAUAUGAACUUUGACUAUAAAAAUUUGAUUUAUAUAAUACGUGUUGUUUGGGGAUGAUGCCAACCAGUGGUUAACUCUCAUAUGAGAAUGGAAUAUGUGCAAUCGAAUUUAUGUAAUCGAAAGUGUGAAAAUUUACCUUGAUUGGCAUAAGCCCAUGACUUAAAAUGGAUGAUUAUGGAUUUAAUCUUCUAAGGUAAAAAGGGCUUAAGGAAGUUGAUACCAGAAAUAUCUUGAUAAAUUAUACUUUGAUUUUAAAAUAUUCUUGAGGGGAGAUAAAUAUUUAAUUUCAUUUUCAGAUUGAUAAACUAAUGAGGCCACGAGAUCUAGUGUUUGGAGUAAAAUUUGAGGAAUCACAAGUUAGAUAUAUUUGUAUGUGACGUAUAACAAACAAGUUGGUUAUGACCUAGGAAUUAUAAGGAUUGAUUAAGUCCAUAAGGAUACAUCCAAAAGUAGGUUUAUUUAUUUAAAUAUAUCGUGGUAAUAUAUGAGAUCUACUUAAUAAGUACUCGAUCAUGAAAGUACUGGAGUUUUCUUUUUGAGAAUAUGGUUACUAAUGGUUAUCAAAUUUGAAUUAUUUGUGAUGUUAAAUAUAUAUAUGGACAAAUAAAGAGUGUUUGAUCUUUAUGUAUUAUGAAAUGCUUGAAUAAGAAUUGUAGUGCACGCCCCUUUAGGAGAAAAAUUGAUUUGGAAGCAGUUGUAAUAUGGAAAGAGUAUCCUGAAGUGGGAAUUAUUGAUUGUUGACAAGUGGUAAAGGUAGCGUAACGAUAAGAGAUCCCAUUAAAGGCUGAGUUGCGUGAACAUAAGAGACUUUGGGAGAUAGUUAAGGAAAUGGUAUCAAGGAAAUGUAAUCUAUAGCGCGGUUAAGCCGUGUCCUUCAUGUGAUUGACAAUAUGCUUGCAUACUUGGAAAGCCCCGAAAAAUCGUUAAAAGUCGAUAAUGUACCAAAUGAUACUAUUAAGUUGAAUUAAGCCUCGAACUAGUCCAAAUAGAGAUUUUAAGAUGAAAUGGAGAAUUUUAAAUUCCCAGAAUGACUUAAAAUGGUGAUUUGGAGUUCGAGGACUAAUUUGGAGUCAAAUUGGAAUUUUCAUGACUUAGGGGCAAAAUGGUCAUUUUGUCACCCGAGGUUAAGAUGUAAGUGUUGGAUGAAAUUUUUGACUAAGAUUGAUCAUUUGGAGUAUAAAUUGAGUUUGAGAAGUGAAAAAUUUUAAUUCUGACAUUUUUUUAGCAUAAAGGGCAAAAUAGUCAUUUUGCCACCUCAGGGGCAAAAUUGUAAUUUUACACACCCAACACUUGUCCAGCACAUGGAUUUUAUCCAAUUUUAUCAUGGAUAAUUGAAGAAAUUUAUAUGGUGGAGAGAGAAACCUUAAUAGUUAGGAAAUAAAAAUGGGCCAAUGAAAUGGUGACACAUGGCAAAUUUAUAACCAUUAAAUAUUUGGCUUAUAAAUUAACACAAAUCAGCCCAUUUUCUCUUCAUAUGGCCGGCCAUAGCAAGAACAAAGAGAGGAAAAGAAGAACAAGAACCCUAAGUAGAAAAAUUGAAGAAAAAGUGUGGGAUUUCAAGGGAUUAAGCUAAUAAAGGUAAAAAUCCUUGAUUUUAUCUUGUGAUUUACAUUACCCAUGCUUUCUUUUUCAUUUUCCAUGCUUAGAACUCAAGAUUUCAUGAGGACACCCUUGCUGGUCGAACACCUAGGAGAGAGAAUUUGAUGAUGUUUUGGUUAGAUUCUAAGAUAUUCUAGUGUUUUUAGUUAGUUAGUGAUGUGUAGCAUAAAAAGCCAACAAGAAAAAUUCAUUUUCUCCCAUUACCCAUCAUUGACUGAAUUUUCUAGGGAGGAUAUUGAGGCUGAAAUUGAUGAUAUUUCAUGAUAUUUUGGUGGUGUUUAAUGAUUGGUGAGGCUAGAAAUUUAAUGGGAAAUUUUGGCAUGAAAAUCUGAAUUUUUACCUAAUGUAUAGGCAUGUGCGAUUUAUGGUUCGGACUGAUAAAUUGAAUCGUAUUCACAGUCAUGGAGGUAUUUUAAGUAUAAUUGGAGUGUAGAAAGUAAAAGAAAUAUGAAUUUUUAACAGCCUUGGCGAACUCGAUUGGAUGCCCUACGCAAGGUAUCAUCGAGUAUGAGUUUUGGCAAGAGCCAAAGUUUUAAGAAAUUCGUAAGCCAAGUUUAUUACUCGAUUUAUAUGAAUUAAUUUUAUUUGGUGGAAAUGAGUUUAAAGGUAAUGAAAUUACAGUAUGAUACUUAUUUUAAUUGUCUCCAUUUACUCGACUUUAGAUGGUUUAGAUGGUAUCUGUUUACUCACUGGGAAUUUAUAAUCUCACCACCCUCAUUUUCAACCAUUUCAAGCUUGAGGUAGCCUAUGGAUAGCAAAUAUCAUCAAGGAUUAUAGUCGGCUUUAUUACUCCAAAAACUGUAGGUUUACUGCCUUUGUGCACUUUUGUUCCUUAUGGGCCCACGAGUCACUGUAAAGUAAAUUUCAUAUUCCGGUUAUCUAUAUUAUAGUACGUAUGAAUUUAUUUAGCUUUUACAUUACAAAAAUUAUUUACUGAUGACUCUAUAAAUAUUAUUUUACAAGAAAUUAAAAUAUUUUAUUGAAUAUUUUAUUUUAUUCAAAUAGUUGCAAUAUCAUUUUUAAUAAAUGUUUAGACACCCAACUUUAUUUUAAAUCAUGAAAUAUAUGUUUUCUACUCAUCUACUACAUUUUUAGUUAGGAUCGGAAAAUUUUGAGAAAAAAUGACGAAAACGCCCCUGUGAGGCGAAAAUUAUUUUUCCACGAUUUUGAAGGGGGAAAAGCUUAAAAUUCUUUAAAAACGAGGUUUGGCAAUGAUUACUCACAGGGGAGAUGAGAAAAAUGGUACUAAAGCCUUGCGGGGUUCCGAUUGGCAUUUCGGGUAAUGAAUGUCUAUCGAGACAUCGUGGCGGUUAUCAUGGGCUCGAGGGGAGUACCAGGUCGUGACAAUAUACUUGUGUUAUCUAUAUAUAUAUAUAUGGUUUGAAUUGAU
rnacentral:lncRNA from 1 species